GAUGAACGCUGGCUACAGGCUUAACACAUGCAAGUCGAGGGGAAACGACGGGGAAGCUUGCUUCCCCGGGCGUCGACCGGCGCACGGGUGAGUAACGCGUAUCCAACCUGCCUCUGACUGAGGGAUAACCCGUCGAAAGUCGGCCUAAUACCUCAUGGUAUCGUCUGCGGGCAUCCAACGACGAUUAAAGAUUUCAUCGGUCAGGGAUGGGGAUGCGUCUGACUAGCUUGUUGGCGGGGUAACGGCCCACCAAGGCUACGAUCAGUAGGGGUUCUGAGAGGAAGGUCCCCCACAUUGGAACUGAGACACGGUCCAAACUCCUACGGGAGGCAGCAGUGAGGAAUAUUGGUCAAUGGGCGAGAGCCUGAACCAGCCAAGUAGCGUGCAGGAAGACGGCCCUAUGGGUUGUAAACUGCUUUUAUGCGGGGAUAAAGUGAGGGACGUGUCCCUCAUUGCAGGUACCGCAUGAAUAAGGACCGGCUAAUUCCGUG
rnacentral:rRNA from 1 species